AGGUUCCCUAGGACUAACCUCUAGGGUGGAGCCCUGUGACUCCCAUGUUGGAGAGGCUGGAGUCCAUCUUUAGACUUGGUGAACUUGGCUUCCAAGAAAACGAGAUCAGUGACCAGCUCAUCCAUCCUGUUUAUGGAUCAGCUUAUGGCCCAGAUCACCCUGCUGAAUGAAGUCAUUAUUAAUCGAUGCCAAGAAAUGGAAAACCACUAAUUUUUGAGGAAGAUUUUGAGACGUAAAUGAGGACUUGCAGGUGCACCCAAUCCAUCACCUACGGCACGUGCGCGAUGGGGCUUGUCUCGUUUUGCGGUUCAGCACCAGCCCUGGCAGCUUCGCUCCGGAGACGUUGUGAGCAACGGCACUCAGGUUUGCACCAAAUGCCUCCGGACUGCGAUGUGUGUCUCUCUCCCUUCGCUCCCCUUUUGCUGUGUUUUCAGAUUACGUGGUUGUUCCCCGUCUCUGCUCUUUGUGACGCUUCUGCAGUCAUAACAGAGACGGACUGUAAGUUGCUGGGUUAACUAGGUAACCACACCUGUUACAUUGGUACCCUGUUGGGGCGUGUGAAAUUGAAUUCAUGAGCCCCCUUUUCCAAAACGGUGCAUGAGAACUCCCUGAGCUCAGAGGUGUGUACCCAGUGACGGGCUCUGAGGAUGAAGGUGCGGACGCGGCGUGGGGUGCGCCUGGAUAACUCCGUUAAGCAGGAUCACGAAGAUGGGAAGCGAAAAGCUUGAGGAUCCUCCAGGCAUCUUGGUGCCUUGCAGUCAACAGGGGCUGCGCCCACCUUCCAGCACCUUCUGGCACGUUCCGGCACCCUCUGCACGGGGUGCCACUUCCCGGGUUGUAGGGGGCAUAAGUGUGUGGAUCCUAAGGAACAAGUGUUCUGGGCAUUUGGGGGAGGUUUCAACCACCCAAGUGUUAAUUGAAGAAACUAGUUAAUUGAAGAAACUGGGAUGGAGAAGCUGUUUCACUCACUCACCUCCCUUUAUUCCCUCUUAAUCUCUGCCUUCAGGAUUUCCCCUUUUUAUGUUAUCUGCCGUUCACAAAUGUUCCUUUAUGGAUGAAAACCUGAAGGCAUGCCAUCAAUCCUUGAACACUGAGAGCACUCAGAAGGGGCUUUUCUGGGAAACAGAAUGACCCUGCUUUAGGUGAUUAAGAGAGGAGGGAGCUGGGAGGAGGCCUGGCGACGGGCGGUCAGUGUUACAGCCCCCCCUAUGGAAUGGCUUGCUUCGGAAGUGCUCCCUGCCAAGAUCAGGAUAGGGCGGCGGGCCAGCACCCCACUUUUCAGACAAGGAAUGUGAGAUGGAGAUUCGGGCUUUUCCAUCUAACGUUUAUCUUCCUGUCUCCCUUCCCUGGCCUGUCCUGGGCCCCUAGAC